AUAAGAUUAAACUUGCAAAUAUUCGCUCAAACUAAAGUUGAUUUAUAAAACUAGUGUUCAUCCAACUUAUUCAGGUGAAAUGUGGUCGCUAUGGACAUGAAAUACACGUUUUCGUCGUUCAGAUUUGUAUUUAGCUAAUGAUACAUCCGAAUAGUUACAUUGCAUACGUUAUGAAGAAUCCGAUUUGCAAAAAGCUGUCAUUUACUAUUGCUGACAAGAUCUACUUAGCCGGAAUGUUCAACCUUGCAAACCUAACUCUUAUUUCUACCUGAGAACAACUCAAUGUUUCCGCACGCGAACAACUAGUCAACGCCAGUGUAAUGUACGAUUAGUGGUGCGUAUCAAAAGAAUAAUAUAAAAGUUUUGUAAAUGACAAAUCCCUCAACAGAAUUCUCCAUUAUCUGGAUUGCUUCGCGUCGUAGCAUUGGGGCUAGCGAGGAGGUCGAUAAAUUGGCGCAGGAGGCGAUAGAGAAUGUGAGGGCCGAAUUCGGCAUGCCUAAACUGAUCUUCGAGUACAAUUUACAAGACCGUGCAAGACCCUGGUAUGGAAAAUGCAAGCUCUAGAGAGAGCGUUACCACCCAAGCUAACCAUUACCACGUUGCAGCCACCGUGGCUAGGGUGGGGAUCACCAAUACUCCCAGUUGACCGUGUGGAGCAGAAAGCCAAACUUUUGACCACAUCUUGUGGCUCUGCCCCAAGACGAACAACAAAGGCACAAACUUUUAGAGAGACUGAAUAAACAACAUGUGCCAGGUCCUACAACACAAGUACAAAAUUUUUAGCUCAUCGGUUUAUGGAGAUAAUGCACUGAGAGUAAAUUGAUCUAACGUGCAAUGAUUGGAAAAUGGCAAAAUUCACCACUCCGAGAACUGUUAUUCUGAAAUUAUUAUUUCGACGGCCUCCAAUCCAAUAAACUGGCAAUUUAUCAGAGGAUGACGUAAACGAAUUUUCAUAUACCAUCGAGAGUUGAGAAGUGGCUGUUCUCCGCAACCUACUGCACGGACUGGAAUUGGUCGUAUUGAAAAGCAGCAAGGUAUGCGCCGAUAAAUGACACCUUCCACACCAAGCAAAUCAACCCUCAUGCUCUGGAAAUUACAUACCAAUUAGUUCAACCAUUUGAGUGGUGGGAGUGAAAUACUUUUUUACCAUUUUUGAGAAUAUUUUGUGUUGAAUUUUUUCGUUCUUGCAAAGAGAAGAAUUUUCCGGAAAACAUCGAAACGGUUGAAUUUUGCCAAAAGUGGGUUCCUUCUAUAAAAAUAUUCAAUUUCAUGAAUAAUUUUGAUUACAUUUACUUGAAGAUGGUCAGUUAGGCAUCGGCGAAAAAAUUGACAUGGAUUGGAAAAUGGAGAAUAAAAUUGACGCAACGGAGUUUGACGGGGACAGUGAGAUGAAGAAAUACGCGACAAGAACUUUGCUUUUCCUCCAACUUUUUUUUUCAUCAUAUAGAACUUUUGUUUGGCCCUCUUUUUUAUUUCUAUUCAUUUUUCAAAAAUCCUCAGAGCAUACCACUAUACAAUACUUAUUCUCAGCCCUUUUUUUAGAAAAAUUUAUGUACGGUUAUGCAGAACCUCAUCAACACUGAAUGUACUGGGAUUGGAAUAAUGAAUUUCAUUGAUUUCUAUUUUAUUUUCACGUUUUAUUUUAAAUCCGUGCAAAAGUAAAAUAAUCACCGGAUUUGUUUUCUCAUAGUAUUCCCCACCAUUGGUGAUUUCAACGAAAAGAUAUUUUCAACAUAGGGAAUACUUGUCUACGGACUUUAAUCUUUUUCCCGCCUAUUGAAAAUAGUGAAAAAAUUGCAGGAACAUAAAAAAGCUUUCGAUUUCUCCGUCAGGAACAUUAAAGAAAGCGGAAAAAAGGACUCUUCUCUCAUUUCACGUCAGUCAAAAUAUACGUGACUUUUCUCACCCAAGUUUUACGAUACCCCAGGGAGUGGUCAUGCUUCAAAUAGAAUAAAAAUUCAGGAGAGGGGUUUGCAAUUUCAUUGAGAGUGCAGGAGCACCGUAAGUGGGCACUGUCAAUUACACCCAACAUACCACUAAAAGAAAAAUAUCUGAAGCAUUAAAAGCAGAAAGUUCUUGAGUAAAAGCGUGAAAAAUACUGGAAGAUGAAAGUCUCUGAACACCAGUAAUCUACCUCAGACAUAGAAGGCGAAGCGGUGACAGAUUGCAAUUUAUCGUGGGAAUGAGAUUGCCUAGUAGGCUUGUACAGACUACAAACCCCUUCACGUUUACGAAAUUAACUAGAGUUGGAGACCGAUGAGAAUAAAAAUAAAAGGCGUGAGAAAGAAGGGCGAAGGGGCGAUAUGGCGGGCGUCGAACGUGGUUUCACCCAGGGUGGUCUAAUCUCGGAAUAAGAGAUGCAACCCAACUACGUUUCGAUUGAAUCAGCGACCUUAAAGGGAGAAUUGUUGGAGGGUAUACCGGAGAGACUCGGAUGCUUCAAAUUUCGAGAGUUAUGCACAGCCUGCAAAUUUCUUUGGAUUCUUCAUUUUAAAUUUACCUUAAAUGUGCACCAUAAAUCGAGGCUUAUUAUUCGUUGUGUCUGGAGUUGUUUAAAUCGAUCGAAGAAAUAAUAGUUUUGCACUGUUGAGAUGUUUUUGUCAUUUUAUAAAUACUGGAUUUACCGGUAACAUAAAGCUUCGAGGAGAUUGAUCACGAGAAGAACGUCUGGUUUGUAUUGCGAUCUGCUGAUAAUAAUAUCACAACGUAGAGAGUGUGAAAAAGUCCUCAUUGUACACGGAGUGAGAAAUCUUCGUAAAAAUUUAAAGUCUAAUGGGAGGCGAGGAGAUGGACGCUCAACAGCUCAUGUAAUAAGUCCCAUGAUGGAGUUCAACGUUGGCAAGAAUCGGAUAUAUUCGCCGCUUAUCGUUAACCAAUAACAAUGAGUUACCGAAAAAUGGCUGCACGGAACAAUGAAAAAUGAAGGAAGGCGCAAUUAAAUAAACUGAUUUAGAUAGAAACUUUUAAAGGAUUUCCAUCAAUUUUUCAUUUAAAGUCAAAUAAAAAAUGACAGGCCAUCAAAUUUUAUAGUGCUGUUUCGUAAAUGUUACGAAGGUAUAUAUCAUUAAUUACAAAAUGUAUGGUAUUGAUAGGAAGUUCUAUGGGCGAAUAAAACAAAUUUUAAUGUUCUAGUAUUUUGCAUUUCGAUUCUAGUGCCCAGAACAGUAAUUUUUCUGUGAGCUUUCUCUCCGUCUAUGGCUAAGACUAAAACAUUAAUGAAAAUUACAGAAGUGGAAUUCUUCCUCAAUACUCGAUAUGAUAACCAUUGGGGAGAAAAUCCAGAUGUAUUCCCCAUCUACAACUAAGAGAGAGAAAGAGACGGCGGUGGAGACAUUACUUAUGUGAAUUGAGAAUAAAAAUGAGAAUUGGCAUGAACGGAGAAAAAAGUCCGAGAAAUUUUGUGAGAAGUUUAAGUUGCGUUGUAAAAUGAAUUCCCUUAUACUUGACUUUCAUUAAGUAAAGAUAAUGUUG